UCCGGUUUGGCACCGGCAGUCCCCCUAGAGUUCCCGGCCGAACCGCUGGCAACUAGGGGCGAGGGUUGCGCUCGUUGCGGGACUUAACCCAACAUCUCACGACACGAGCUGACGACAGCCAUGCAGCACCUGUGCACGGACCCCGAAGGGAGCCUCAGGUUUCCCCGAGGUGUCCCGUGCAUGUCAAGCCUAGGUAAGGUUCUUCGCGUUGCGUCGAAUUAAACCACAUGCUCCACCGCUUGUGCGGGCCCCCGUCAAUUCCUUUGAGUUUCAGCCUUGCGGCCGUACUCCCCAGGCGGGGCACUUAAUGCGUUAGCGCCGGCACUCAGGGGGUCGCUCCCCCAAGCACCUAGUGCCCAUCGUUUACGGCGUGGACUAC
rnacentral:misc_RNA from 1 species